AAAAGUAUGUAGUAUAUGAAUAUUCAUUCUUUUUAUCAAUACUUAAGUAGUUAACUUGCACAAGAGAUAUAUUUGACAGCAUCAUGUUGUGCAAAGUUCACAAUUGAUAUGAUAUGUUAUUGUAAAAUGGACUUGGAGUAAUUUCACUUUGUUUUCUGGAUAAUUAAUUAUUUUAUUGUUUCCAUCAUUUCUCAACAUGCCCUCUACGCAUUUGCAAAAUAGAAUUGUUUGAAAAAUUAGUGAAUUUUCUCUAAAAAAAGUUAAUUUUAAUUGAGUUACUCAAUUAGCUUUAUUUUCAGUUAUUAUAUAGUCGAAUUCAAGUUGAUUAGUUGAGCAAGCAUGAAGAUGAUUAAAUUAUAUAGCUUGUUUCAAAUUUUAUUCGCUUGAUAUUAAACUUUGUGUGAUAUUUGUAUUAUGUUAUUGAGUUUGUAUUUAUUUGUAUUAUUUUUGUUAUGAAUUGUGUUCCGUAAUCUUUUUUGAAGGUGCUUACUCUCUUUUUUAAUGUUUAUUUAUAUUAAUGAUUUCUAAUAACUGAUUAAGUGUAUUUAAAAUAAUUUAUCAUUAUUAAUUUGAGUUUGAACUCGAGCUUGAGCCGAGUCUUUUUAUUUUGAGCUUGAGCUCGAGCUUUGUUAAUGAGCUUCUUAAUCGAUUUUUUCGAAUUACAACUCGAAUUAGGCUCAUUAUUAUACUAAACAAGUUUUCCUCGAACUGAACUCGAUAAUAAUAUUUAAUUCACGAGCCGAGCUUGAGCUACUAAAAUUUUUUAAUAAAUGAGCUUGAGCUUUACAAAACUCGGCUCGAUUCGAUUACAUCCCAAAUUAACAGACAUCAGUUGUAUUCUUUGCCGCUCUCUCAUAUGCUCAGCGCCCAACCUUAAGCCAUUGCUGACUAUCAUCAGCCUGAAGGUAAAAGUAACACUUCCAAUGGCUGGAGAUGGAAGCAAAAGAAGUGAAGUCUCAGCAAUUCCGCCUCGAAAAAUCAAUGUGCAGAAAUUUGUAGAAUCGCGCACUUUUGAGCUCGAGACUCUUCACUCAAUAGUAUCAGACCGGUUGAACAACGAUUUCCGAUCUCGAAGAAACAAGAGAAGAAGAACCACUGCGUAUGACAAUCAAAAUGCAAAGAAGAGAAAUAAAAGGAGAAAAUGUGGAAUAGCUGUUGAUAAAAGCAAUAACGUGGCUUUGGAGCAAAACCAGGAAAGGCUUCCUCCUCGUCGCGUUCGGCGGAGAGUUGAACUUAGAAGGAAUUCUAGAAGUGGUUUCUCUACUUCCAGCGAAGGGACGAAGAGGCUCAGAACGUAUGUUUGGCAUUCGAAGAGGUUCACAAUGACAAAGCUGUGGGGUUUCCACCUUCCCCUGGGUUUGCAGGGCAGAGGAAGGGGGUCUCGAGCUUUAUUAAAGUGGUACAAGCAUGGGGCUCUUGUGCAUGAUGCAAGCUAUUAUACUGCUGUCCAGUUGGAGGGUCCAGAGGAUUCAUUAACGUCAAUCAUAAGGAUGGUGCUCGAGCCUUCUUCAUCAACUCAAUCUGAGGAAAUUACAAAUACUAUUCUUUCUGGUUGUAUCUAUGGAACCGCCAUGCUUCAUCAUGUUGGAGCUCUUUCUGAGUUGAUAGCUCCUGUGACUUAUAUGUGGCGACCUUAUCAUCUUCCGAAUGGAGAAAACAGUGGUAGUCACUGUAAUUCUGAUGGAUGCAAUGAGUUGACAAGUUCUGAAUCAUUUUCUUCCCAUCGCCAGCUUUGGGUGUUGAUACAUGCUUCAGCUUUCAAUGAGGGAUAUGAUGCUCUAAAAUUUGCUUGUCAGAAACAUAUGAGUGAGAGUGGCAUCUUGAUCAAUUGCAUUUCACUUGAAGGCGAACUUGCAAAAUUAGAGGUAAUGGGAUCAAAGGCAUUUCAACUUCUUCAAAAGAUAUUACAUCCUGUUUAUUGUGAUUCAAAGAAUUCCUGGCAACUGAGGAAAUGUGCUGUUGAAGAUGCGGAUCAUGAUUCCAAGCUUAAGAAUCCUUCUAUACUAGAAAAUGAGGAGAAUAUGUCUUCAUGUUCUAUGUUUCCUUUUACAGUCAGGGAUCCUCGAGCAAUGUCUGAGACAAAGAUAGGUGAUGUUUCUGUGGCAGCUGCUACCACAAUGAAUUAUGUGUCUGAAGAUGAACCUAGAAAGGAUGUCACUACACUGGGAAAUCCAGAAAAGAGUGAAGAUUUACUUUGGCAACCAUGUUCAAAACCUGAAGGGGAUAGCAGUUUCUCUAACAAAGGGGAUCUGUGGGAUGCAGCUUGCAGAAUAAGUCUCCCUGUGGAAGAUAAUGUUCUUUGCUUGGAAAAACAUCGUUUACGUAUGGAUUUCGUUUGCCUUGAUGAUGCAAAAUCAGGGAUGCCGAGUACUGCAGUUGAGGUUCAUGGUUCAAGAUCUUGCCCUAUUGUUCUUCUUAAACACAACAAUGGAAUGGGCUCAUUCAUGGGAUGGUCAAUAAUAAUGCCCUUGUGCUGGGUCAAGGUCUUUUGGAUAUCUUUCAUCUCCAAUGGAGCUCGUGCCAUAGGUCUUAGAGAGAAGCGAUGGAUUGCAUGUGAAGUAGGGUUACCCUUUUUUCCUUCAGAUUUUCCUGACUGUAAUUCAUACCUCUCUUCUAAGGCAAUUGAAAGUGCUGCCAUAGACCAAAAAGCAGAACGACUAUGUCCUGCUGUAAGAUCCUUGAAAGUGCCUGUUCCACCCCCAUGGAACAGCGUCCGCAUUGCUGUGCAAGUGGCUUCAAGUUCUCAUGCAAAAGACAUGAUUGGUGGCAAUUCAAUGUCAAUCAUUAGAUGUGAUCAUAGUGAUAUAACAUCACUCAGGGUUGAUGGUAACUCAUUUGAUGGAAUUGUAGCAAGGACAUCCAAUAUGUUGGCUGAUUUUAUGAAUGAAAUAUAUGGUGAUUGUUCACUUUUAUUCCCUCAAGCUCCAAACAAGAGGAUGAAGUUUCUAGAGUCUAUCAAUGAUGAAAGUAAACUUGGUCAACUUCAAAAUGGUAUUAGGCGAAUGAAUUCUAACCGUCAAUUGUGCUUUGUUAGAGUUCUUCUCCAUGCAUAUAAAAAAGGUGUUUUUGAAGAGGGAGCAGUUGUAUGUGCACCUUGUCUCAGUGAUGUGUCACUAUUGACUUCCAGGUCAGAAAAUAAUGAGGCUGGUUUUCAGAUUCCUACCUCUGUGGUGAGGGCAUACUUCAAAGAGCAAUCUAACUCUGCUGCUGAAGAGUCCCAUGGGUGGCCUAUUGGUUUUGUCACGACAGGAUUUGUUCGAGGGAGCAAGAAGCCAAUGGCAGAGGCCUUUUGUGAAGCAGUUUUACUAGCGCAUCUUAGGGAAGAACAGUGGAAUGAGAUACCUGUAAAGAAGAGGAGAAAAGAAAUAUAUGUGCUUGUCAGGAACUUGAGAUCUUCAGCAUAUAUACUUGCUAUGGCAUCAGUUAUCUUGGAACAACACCAAGACGAUAUGGAGUUCUUGUGAAAUGCUGCAGGUGUGAUAACAAAUGCGCAGAUGAAGUUAGGUAGAUUAUGUCGAGUCAUUAUGAUGUUACAUUGCAAAAAUGGAUUAGAGCUAUUGCAGGUGGAUGUUGCCCAUGCGGCUUUGAUCCGCAGUAACUUAAGCCCAAAGGAGAGCAGAAGCUCGUUCCUGGAAGUCAGCUGGCAACCUCCUCCCGUGAAAUUGCUUCAAAGUGAAUACGAAUGGUUUCUUUCUUGAUGUUUGGUUCGUGCUUAUGGGAAUGGUCUUGUCAGAGACUGGAAUGGCAAGUGUUCUAUCUUUGUUGCUGAACUCUUGGCAACUUAUAAUCGUUUAAGAUAGUUAUUGAUUUGAGAAUCCCAUGGAUGAUAGUUGAGUGUGAUAACAUAGGCGUUAUGGAAGCUAUAACUGAUUGCAU